UCAAAUUUAUCGUAAAUCCGACAUCGACAACAGCCACGACGGCGUCGUUUCACUGUCCGUCAACAACUCUUGCAUCCAGAUCGAGACCGAACUACAACGGACAACGAACUGGAUAGCAUGAUCAACUCUGUGGAUGCUGACGGUGAUGGAUUCAUUGAUGCAGAAGUUUAUUGAGCUGAACACGAAGGAUGUUGAUUCGAAUGAGGUCAUAUGUUCUGUCCGUGACACCGAACAAGAUGUUCAACAAAACCGUAUCAAUUGUGGGAUAUGUAUGGGGAAUUACUUCUGUCAGAAAUGUAAAUUCUUUGAUGAUGAUGGACAUGACGGUGGUGGUGGGUGUUUGGAGGUGGCGGUG